GCCUGAGCGGCUCAGUCAGUUAAGCAUCUGACUUCAGCUCAGGUCAUGAUCUUGCAGUUCGUGGGUUCGAGCCCCGCAUCGGGCU
rnacentral:tRNA from 1 species